AACCGCUGUAGGGAAAUACGGAAUGAUGGAUGCUAGGUUUAGGCGAUGCAGAUGGAAAUGAGAGAAAUUACAGCGCCAAUUUUAGGUAUCAAAUGAUUCCAUUCUGGCUGCAUCUUUUUUGUAAUGGAAACCACAAUGAAGGUAAGCAUCUUUGAUUACAUUAAUCCUUGUAUUCGGUUAAAACUUUCUCGCAUAUCAAUAUUGUCAAAACCUAAAAUCCCCUCAAACAAAUAAAGAAUAUAGCAGCAUUCCAGUUA